rnacentral:rRNA from 1 species
UUUUUUUUUAACCACCGCGAACUCGUAAGAAGGAUUGGGGGUCGCCCCGUCGAGGGCGUCAAACGGUGAGAGCACGGCGAGAGCCUUCGAUUCUCACGGCCCCCAACGUUAUUUUUUUAAUCCAUCAAAACACACAACUGUGCCAACAGAAAAACACCUGAGUCAGGCGACUGGCUUAAAAAAAAAUUAAAAGUUCAUAACUUUUAACGGUGGAUCUCUUGGCUCGUGCAUCGAUGAAAAACGCAGCCAGGUGCGAUAAUUAGUGUGAAUUGCAAAAUUCAGUGAAUCAUCGAAUCUUUGAACGCAAAUGGCGCUCUUGGGUUUUCCCAGGAGCACGUCUGUCUGAGUGUCGGUUUCAAAAAAUACCAACGCAUGCGUAAAUGCCUGCGGUCUUGAGGCGUCGCGGCCCCCGCUUCCUUCGUUGCGAUCGGCGGGCCUCGUCCCUUGAAGUGCAGCACGACCGAACGGCGCGACUCCGUGUCGCCGCAUUCGGGGAGGCCAAAAGCAAAAACUUUGCCCUUCCUCGAGGUGGCUCGGAUCGCAACCCGCAUCGAGUCGUUGUCUGUCGUGUUAGCGAUAACACGACGACAAACCACAUUCUUGACCUCAGAUCAGGCGAGACUACCCGCUGAAUUUAAGCAUAUUAAUAAGCGGAGGA